rnacentral:misc_RNA from 1 species
GGAUGCCACUUGGGAAGAUAGAAGUUUUAUCAAUCCUCAGUUUCCAGAUUAUUCACUUUCUUGGGGACAAGAAAGCACUCAAGAAGGGGGCAUUGUUACAUAUUAUAGACGGAGGUAUAGGAAUAAGGAUAGAAAGUGAUGUAGAAGAGUAUAGUUGUUUCUAGAUAUUCUACAAGAGGUUAUGAGCAGGAAAAAAAACAGUAGCAGUGCCAGUUACUAAAUCUGUUGUAACUGAGAUUGUUAUAGUGACAGCUAAAGAGUUAGGCAGUUACACCAGCUAGAGCUAUAAAAUCUCAGCAGUUAUCUUGUAAUUUUCAUCGAAGAACUAUCAAGAAAUACAAAUUCUCUCUUUCUCUCCCUAUUUCUCUA